AAAACGUGAUUUUCCAACGUCACGCGUGUCUUUUUCACAUACAUACUAGACGCAAAUGGUAACAUUUAAAUUUUGUUUAAGUUGACGGAGUGAUAAAUUUACGAGAAUUGAAUUGCUUAAUACAUUCCUCAAGAUUUUCUUGUAUCUACUUAGUAUGGGAAAGAUUGAGGUUAUCGAGUGGAUUCACAUAACCGUGACGUCGUCCAGUACCGUUGAAAUAGUACUUUAGGAAAACAUAGGUCAUGCAAAAGGUAGUCUGAAAAGAGAUUGGUAUAUAAACCAAAUUCGUUGGAAGGUCUAAUUUAAGCGGGCUUCGUAUUAUGCGACGACGACCGUCUUCCACUCAAAUUGUUACUCCGUUUAGCCAUGAUUGGCACUGAUCAUUUAUUUAUGAGUAUAAAACACGCGAGAAUGUCUUCAAACGGCGCAUCCCAGAAAUUGUCAGCGAACCACCACCUUCGUGACUAAAAUCCGCGAGAGAAAAUAUGGCCGCCCCAAAGACCGCCACCAGGGCGCCAGGUUUCUCUGGAAUAUACGCUUGUCGCGCCUGCCCACGUGACACAUUGUAUGUGUUCGCUGCCUUAAAGUUGGCGUGUGGUACUGCUAUCUCUUCUUAAGAAAGCUUUCCUUAUUUUUUAUUCUUUAUUAAAUUAUGAGUGUUCGAAGCGUACUUCAUUUCACUAUAUGUAUCAGUAUUGCAAUUAGUAAAUAUCUAUUUUCUUAACAUAUAACAUUUUCUUUCAUAGUCUGUAAUAGGCUUUUGUUUGUACCCUAAGAUUAUAUUAUACAUUACUAGGUAGAGAAAAGAUAUAUAUAUAUAUAUAGUGUGUAUUAUAUAUACAUAUGCCUUGUGUGUGUGUGUGCGCGCGCGCGCGCGCGCGUGUGUGUAAAUAUGUAUAUAUAUGUAUAUGUGCAGACAUGUGUGUACAGACAUGUAUUCUACGUACACACAUUCAUAUGCAUACAAGAACAUGCACUCACACGCAUGCUAACGCAUAAGCGUGUCUAUUAACAAUAAGUAACAUGUAACGUUUUAUAGCGCUGUAACUGCUUGGGGUCGGUUGAUACAUUAUCGACACUUUAUAACCUGUAUCGGCUGUAUCCAUUUCGUUUAUUAUAUAGUAGCAUUCACAUACUGUAUAAUUAGUUAGGUCCAAGUAUAUUAAAUUUCGCAUUAUUUAAUGGUAUUUUGAAAUGAAAUGCACAGAACCUGGUAAGAAAAAUGCUUCGUUGGAAAAUAAAGAUAUGUGCAAAUACUAUUUGUAACCAUUGUACAUGUUUUUUUAAUUUUCAUAAAAUAAUUAAAAGAAAAGAAUAUUUCAUAAUAUAGAUUAUUGUGAAGAUUAAGUUUUAAAAAUUUCUCUAUAUAAAAUUUGGAGUACAGAUUUUGUCUGUAUUAUGAUUGUCUGUAUAAUAUAUGUAUGUAUAAUUCAAAAUAAAUCAGUUUUCUGAAUCUA